rnacentral:lncRNA from 1 species
GUGUAAUUCAACAGACAGCUAGACAGGUUUAGGUCCAGUGUAAUUCAACAGACAGCUAGACAGGUUUUGGUCCAGUGUAAUUCAACAGACAGCUAGACAGGUUUAGGUCCAGUGUAAUUCAACACACAGCUAGACAGGUUUUGGUCCAGUGUAAUUCAACAGACAGCUAGACAGGUUUAGGUCCAGUGUAAUUCAACACACAGCUAGACAGGUUUAGGUCCAGUGUAAUUCAACAGACAGCUAGACAGGUUUAGGUCCAGUGUAAUUCAACACACAGCUAGACAGGUUUUGGUCCAGUGUAAUUCAACAGACAGCUAGACAGGUUUAGGUCCAGUGUAAUUCAACACACAGCUAGACAGGUUUUGGUCUAGUGUAAUUCAACAGACAGCUAGACAGGUUUUGGUCUAGUGUAAUGACAUUAACUAAAUAAAACAUGUCUUCACAAUACAAUGUUUAUAAUACAUCCAGCAUAUUGAUUAUUACUUUUUCUACACCAAUGACAUAAGAUUUGACUAAUUACCAGACAGUCCCCACAACCUAGUUGAUACUGACCUUAACCCAACACCUAGCAACCUCAUAACCUGGUCUAUACUGAGUUUAUACUGUAGUGACCUUAACCCAACACCUAGCAACCUCAUAACCUGGUCUAUACUGAGUUUAUACUGUAGUGACCUUAACCCAACACCUAGCAAUUUCAUAACCUGGUCUAUACUGAGUUUAUACUGUAGUGACCUUAACCCAACACCUAGCAACCUCAUAACCUGGUCUAUACUGAGUUUAUACUGUAGUGACCUUAACCCAACACCUAGCAACCUCAUAACCUGGUCUAUACUGAAGUGACCUUAACCCAACACCUAGCAACCUCAUAACCUGGUCUAUACUGAGUUUAUACUGUAGUGACCUUAACCCAACACCUAGCAACCUCAUAACCUGGUCUAUACUGAGUUUAUACUGUAGUGGCCUUAACCCAACACCUAGCAACCUCAUAACCUGGUCUAUACUGAGUUAAUACUGUAGUGACCUUAACCCAACACCUAGCAACCUCAUAACCUGGUCUAUACUGAGUUAAUACUGUAGUUACCUUAACCCAACACCUAGCAACUUCAUAACCUGGUCUAUACUGAAGUGACCUUAACCCAACACCUAGCAACCUCAUAACCUGGUCUAUACUGAGUUUAUACUGUAGUGACCUUAACCCAACACCUAGCAACCU